GUAUGACAGAAGAGGGCUUCUCCUAGAAACUGUGUGUGAUAUUCAGGAGGGCUUAAUUCAUAGCUGCAGGCCUAACAAAGAUGCCAUCUUAGCCACCUGAGCAGAGAAUGACUAAAGGUCCUCCGAGGGUGAUGGUGGUUUCAGAUUUCCCACUCAAUCUGGAGGUGUAGAGAUCGAGGCUUGAUCAGGUCGUUGUGAAAGGUUCUCUACUCUGAGGUGAUCUUUCUCUAGUGGACAAAGAAGAACCUAGAGGGAGGGUGCGGAGCAUGUGACCUAGCGAUGUAGGAGCAGGAGCCACAACGUUGAUCUGGAGAGAAACAUUUGAAAGGUUUCUGAAUAAUACUUCACACAAGCACAAAUCCCAUUUGUGUGAUGGACAGAUACCACUCAGAAGAGCUUUAUUAUAUAUAUUCUCCUUUUGGUUCCCAGAUGGUCCUUAAGAUAGCAUACAAACCCCCUUAACACACAAUAACACAAGCAUUUUAUCUAGAACUAUGGACAAAUAUUACACUUAUAUCUCUCCUUCUUCCAUGGUCCCUACUUGGUCACUAUUACUGAUUAUUAUCUCAAUAAUUUGUAGUCUAUAUACUGCUCAAUGGGGCAAGUCUGUUCAUGGCUAUUUAAACCUGUUACUUAUAACAUGCACUAUGAGCAAAUCUCAGCUUGGCAAAACAUCUCCUGACCCCAUGUGUAUAACCACUCUCCUGUGGCUAAAUGCUUUACAGAACAGCCACAGGAGCACAGAGGAAGGUGGUUUUUCUCACCUGCUGUUUCACUCACAGCUAUACCAUUGCUGUUGGAGUCAGAGUGGAUUCAGGGCCAUUCAGCUUUCUCUACGCCCACUGCUGCUUUCCUUUGCCAUGUACUGCUGCCUUCUUUCUCAGGGAACCCACCCUAGGUUGGGGAACAGUAUUUUAUUCAAUUUUCAAAAUUUUAAAAGCCAAGCUUGGCAGCACUGACAGUGCCAUCAGUAACAAAACAAAACAAAAAAGCCCAUAAAUUCUGACCAGAAAUGACUUACAAUUGGUAAGCUUAAA